GACGAACGCUGGCGGCGUGGAUUAGGCAUGCAAGUCGAACGGUAGGAUACCUUCGGGUAUCUGAGAGUGGCGAACGGGUGAGUAACACGUAGGUGAUCUACCCUCAAGAUUGGGACAACCCAGGGAAACUUGGGCUAAUACCGGAUGAAAGCAGCAGUGAUGUUGUUUGAAAGGUGGCGUAAGCUGCCGUUUGGGGAUGAGCCUGCGCUCUAUUAGUUAGUUGGCGGGGUAAAGGCCCACCAAGGCGAUGAUAGAUAGGCGGCCUUAACGGGUGGUCGCCCACACUGGGAUUGAGAUACGGCCCAGACUCCUACGGGAGGCAGCAGUCGAGAAUAGUCUACAAUGGCCGAAAGGCUGAUAGUGCGACGCCGCGUGAACGAGAAGCCCUUCGGGGUGUAAAGUUCUUUUAUAUGUGAGCAGUGCUUUCUAUGUGAACAGCAUGGGGAGAGAGAUAUUAGCAUAUGAAUAAGCAACGGCUAACUCCGUGCCAGCACG
rnacentral:rRNA from 1 species